rnacentral:rRNA from 1 species
CAACAGCGUAUAUUAAAGUUGUUGCAGUUAAAACGCUCGUAGUCGGAUUUCGGGGCGGGCGGGCCGGUCUGCCGAUGGGUAUGCACUGGUCUGGCCGUCCUUCCUUCCGGAGACCGUGCGUACUCUUAACUGAGUGCGCUCGGGAGACGGAUCGUUUACUUUGAAAAAAUCAGAGUGUUUCAAGCAGGCAGCUCGCUCUUGCAUGGAUUAGCAUGGGAUAAUGAAAUAGGACUUUGGUGCUAUUUUGUUGGUUUCGAACACCGAAGUAAUGAUUAACAGGGACAGUCAGGGGCACUCGUAUUCCGCCGAGAGAGGUGAAAUUCUCAGACCAGCGGAAGACGAACCACUGCGAAAGCAUUUGCCAGGGAUGUUUUCACUGA